AUCAUUGCGCUAGGGGCAAUGACGCAGCCAGUGAGGUUUUAACCGAGGCGCGUCAAUUGCUGGUUGAAAACUAUUUCCUUUUUUUAUCGCUCUCUUUGGCUUGGGUUCCGCCUAGGCUAUCGAGAAUUUUUGGAAGGGCUCCCUUCUUGGGUAAAGCC